GGGGAUGUGGCUCAGCGGGAGAGCGUUCGGUUCGCAUCCGAGAGGUCGUGGGUUCGAACCCCAUCAUCUCCACCA
rnacentral:tRNA from 2 species